rnacentral:rRNA from 1 species
CAUUAUCGAAUCGCUUCGAGAGAGAAGGGAGGAAAGGAUCAGAGUGUGUAGUGUAGAGGACUGUUGCUGGCGACCAUGAAUCGCAUGUGCACGUCCUCACUUUCUCUUUCCUAGUACUUCUUUCUCUGUCAUGCUUUUCAUACACACACCUGUGCACCUAUUGUAGUCCUUUUGAAAUAUAGAGGAUCUACGUCUUUCUUUCAUCACACAUCGCAUGUCCAUAGAAUGUAACAAUGUUGUACAACUUUCAGCAACGGAUCUCUUGGCUCUCGCAUCGAUGAAGAACGCAGCGAAUUGCGAUAAGUAAUGUGAAUUGCAGAUUUCCAGUGAAUCAUCGAAUCUUUGAACGCACCUUGCGCUCCUUGGUAUUCCGAGGAGCAUGCCUGUUUGAGUGUCAUCGAAUUCUCAACCACUUCUUGAUUUCCUUGUCAAGAGGAAUGGCUUGGAAUUGGGGGUUGUUGGCAGACCUUGAGACUGUCGACUCCCCUGAAAUGUAUUAGCGAUGCUAGUCUUCUUGGAUGUGCACGGCCUCCGAUGUGAUAAUGAUCGUCGUGGCUGGAGCAUCCCUUGACUUAUGGCUUCAUUGCUUCUAAUCUGACUCGAAAGGACUUAUGUUGCUAGUUAGUCUUUAGCUUAGCUACUAGGCAGCCCGUGAGGCUGGCCGAACACAAGCUAUAAUAUAAUCAUAAUCUAGUCAAAACAUGGACAUCCUUUCGUUCACUCAGAGACUUGACCUCAAAUCAGGUAGGACUACCCGCUGAACUUAAGCAUAUCAAUAAGCGGAGGAAAAGAAACUAACAAGGAUUCCCCUAGUAACUGCGAGUGAAGCGGGAAAAGCUCAAAUUUCGAAUCUGGCGGUCUUUGGCCGUCCGAGUUGUAAUCUAGAGAAGCGUUUUCCGCGCUGGACCGUGUAUAAGUCUCCUGGAAGGGAGCGUCAUAGAGGGUGAGAAUCCCGUCUUGGACACGGACUGCCAGUGCUUUGUGAUGCGCUCUCGACGAGUCGAGUUGUUUGGGAAUGCAGCUCAAAAUGGGUGGUAAAUUCCAUCUAAAGCUAAAUACAGGCGAGAGACCGAUAGCGAACAAGUACCGUGAGGGAAAGAUGAAAAGAACUUUGGAAAGAGAGUUAAACAGUACGUGAAAUUGCUGAAAGGGAAACGCUUGAUGUCAGUCGCGUCGGCCAGGGAUCAACCUUGCUUAGUUGCUGGGUGCAUUUCCUGGCGGACGGGUCAGCAUCAGUUUCGGUCGUCGUACAAUGGUAAAGGGAACGUGGCACCUCUUGGGGUGUGUUAUAGCCUUUUGUCGGAUGCGUCGGUCAGGACUGAGGAACUCGGCACGAUCCCUUUGGAUUUGUGUCUAGGAUGCUGGCAUAAUGGCCUUAAGCGACCCGUCUUGAAACACGGACCAAGGAGUCUAACAUGCCUGCGAGUGUUUGGGUGUGUAAACUCGAGCGCGUAAUGAAAGUGAAAGUCGAGACCUCUGUCGUGGAGGGCAUCGACGCCCGGACCUGAGUCUUUGACAAAGGAUCUGCGGUAGAGCAUGUAUGUUGGGACCCGAAAGAUGGUGAACUAUGCCUGAAUAGGGUGAAGCCAGAGGAAACUCUGGUGGAGGCUCGUAGCGAUUCUGACGUGCAAAUCGAUCGUCGAAUUUGGGUAUAGGGGCGAAAGACUAAUCGAACCAUCUAGUAGCUGGUUC